rnacentral:rRNA from 1 species
UCUCAAAAAAACAAUCUCAGUUCAGACUGCAGGCUGCAACUCGCCUGCACGAAGUCGGAAUUGCUAGUAAUCGUAGGUCAGCAUACUACGGUGAAUACGUUCCCGGGCCUUGUACACACCGCCCGUCAAACCAUGAGAGUUGGCAACACCCGAAGUCGGUAGUCUAACCGCAAGGAGGACGCCGCCGAAGGUGGGGUUGAUGAUUAGGGUUAAGUCGUAACAAGGUAAC